rnacentral:lncRNA from 1 species
ACUCUUUUUCAUUGCAUAUACAUGGCCACUGAAGGAUGGAAAUAUGGUAACGACAACUAGAAAAAUAUUGAAGGGUCACAACAGAACACGUACUCCACGAUAACUGACUGAUACAAGGGCCUUCAUGACUAUUUCUCAACGUACAUGGUCUGAAAAACAUUUCCUGACGUACAUGGGCUUACGUGACAGAUUUACUUGUACUUGGACUAAUAUUGGUUUUUGCACGGACACUAACGGUGACAGUGUACGAAUUUUAGUUUUACUAGUGAAUUCUAUAUAGAUGGUAAACAUGGCCCUCAUCAGCAUCCUCCUUUUAUAGAAGAUUCGCAGACCAGCAAGUUCGAUCGCCAUCGGAGCCUGAAAAUGGGCAAAGAUGAUGUUUUAAGAC